ACGUAGCCACUCACCAGCUAGUCGCAGAGAAAUAUAAUUAGGUUACAUUGGCAACAAUAGAAGAGAGAAUUUUAAUUUGCUAAGAGAUGUCGUCGCCACCUGCAGCUUUCUCCAAUGAAGGCGAUGAGCAGCCACAGCGAAGGGCUCCUACAAGCUUCCACCCCUCUGGGGCAAUUUCUUCCUCAGUUACCAGCCACCUACUGCGCCUAAGCAUGCUUACAUGAAAGAACGGGUUCAAGUUGUGAAAGAAGAAGUUAGGAAGGUAGUAAAGGGCUCGAGUGAAGUACCAGAGAUAUUGGAUCUUGUGAUCACGCUGCAACGGCUUGGAUUGGAUAGUUACUACGAGACUGAGAUAAACGACCUUCUCUGCAUUGUUUACAACACCGACUACAACGAUAAAGAUUUACACCUAGUUUCUCUUCGAUUUUAUCUUCUACGAAAGAACGGCUAUGAUGUGUCAUCUGAUAUGUUUCAACAUUUUAAAGACAAAGAGGGGAGUUUUGUUGCUGAUGAUGUAAGAAGUCUUUUGAGCUUAUAUAAUGCGGCAUUUCUGAGGACUCAUGGUGAAAAAGUACUUGAUGAAGCAAUUGUUUUUACAACUAACCGCCUUAGAUCCGAAUUGGAACAUUUGAAAUCUCCGGCAGCUGAUGAAGUGUCUCUUGCUCUUAAUACACCCCUGUUCCGGAGGGUUAGAAUAUUAGAAAUACGAAACUAUAUUCCUAUUUAUGAAAGUGCUACUACACGAAACGAAUCCAUAUUAGAAUUUGCAAAGUUGAAUUUCAAUCUCCUUCAACUUAUUUAUUGUGAGGAGCUAAAAUCUAUCACAGGAUGGUGGAAAGAGCUUAAUGUUGAAUCAAACUUAAGCUUCAUUCGGGAUAGAAUAGUGGAAAUGCAUUUUUGGAUGAUAGGAGCAUGCUCGGAGCCCCAUUAUUCUCUUUCACGAAUUAUACUUACAAAGAUGAUAGCAUUUAUCACCAUACUAGAUGAUAUAUUUGACACAUAUGCUACAACCGAGGAGAGCAUGAUGCUUGCCAAAGCGAUAUAUAUGUGCAAUGAAACUGCAACAGUGCUACUUCCAAAAUACAUGAAGGAUUUCUACUUAUAUUAUUUAAAGACAUUUGAUUCAUUUGAAGAAGCACUAUGUCCAAACAAAAGUUAUCGAGUGUGUUAUCUCAAAGAGUUGUUCAAGAGGUUAGUUCAAGAAUUCUCUCAAGAGAUAAAAUGGCGUGAUGAUCAUUACAUUCCAAAAACAAUAGAGGAACACCUGGAACUUUCAAGAAAGACUGUUGGUGCCUUUGAACUAGCAUGUGCUUCUUUUGUUGGGAUGGGCGACCUUGUAGCAAAGGAAACUCUUGAUUGCCUUUUGACUUAUCCAGAACUUCUUAAGUCUUUCACAACAUGUGUACGGCUCUCAAAUGAUAUUGCUUCAACAAAGCGUGAACAAGCAGGGGACCACCACCAUGCUUCUACAAUUCAGAGUUAUAUGCUCCAACAUGGUGCAACAGCGCAUGAAGCAUGCGUUGGGAUAAAGGAGUUGAUAGAAGACUCAUGGAAGGAUAUGAUGAAAGAAUACCUUACACCAACAGACCUGCAACCAAAAAUCGUGGCAAGAACGGUUAUUGAUUUUGCGCGAACGGGUGAUUAUAUGUACAAGCAAGUUGAUUCAUUCACUAUUUCACAUACAAUCAAGGAUAUGAUAGCAUCGCUCUAUAUGGAGCCGUAUAACAUUUAAAUCAAAACAUGUAUUUACAUUAUAAAUAUUAUAUUAUCCAAUAUAGAGUUUCAAAUUGUAAUAUAUAUUCACUAGCUUUCAAUAAUGUGUUGGUGGCUGUUGAUCACCAAAUAAUCAUUACUUUCAGCCUCAUUAGAAAGUUUCCAUGGUUAAACUAAGAAAUGUUUUCCUUAGCUUGUUGUCACAAUAUUAUGUGCAAUAUACUAAGUCCAUAUGAUCUUGUUCUGUCCCCCAACUAUUUAUAUAUAUUUUAGUUAAUUGGA